UGCAGUCGAACGGUAGCAGGAAGUGCUUGCACUUUGCUGACGAGUGGCGGACGGGUGAGUAAUGCUUGGGAACUUGCCUUUAGGUGGGGGAUAACAGUUGGAAACGACUGCUAAUACCGCAUAAUGUCUACGGACCAAAGGGGGCUUCGGCUCUCGCCUUGAGAGAGGCCCAAGUGAGAUUAGCUAGUUGGUGGGGUAAAGGCCUACCAAGGCAACGAUCUCUAGCUGUUCUGAGAGGAAGAUCAGCCACACUGGGACUGAGACACGGCCCAGACUCCUACGGGAGGCAGCAGUGGGGAAUAUUGCACAAUGGGGGAAACCCUGAUGCAGCCAUGCCGCGUGUGUGAAGAAGGCCUUCGGGUUGUAAAGCACUUUCAGUUGUGAGGAAAGGUUGGUAGUUAAUACCUGCCAGCUGUGACGUUAACAACAGAAGAAGCACCGGCUAACUCCGUGCCAGCAGCCGCGGUAAUACGGAGGGUGCGAGCGUUAAUCGGAAUUACUGGGCGUAAAGCGCACGCAGGCGGCUUGUUAAGCUAGAGGUGAAAGCCCCGCGCUCAACGUGGGAACUGCCUUUAGAACUGGCAGGCUAGAGUCUUGGAGAGGGGAGUGGAAUUCCAGGUGUAGCGGUGAAAUGCGUAGAUAUCUGGAGGAACAUCAGUGGCGAAGGCGGCUCCCUGGCCAAAGACUGACGCUCAUGUGCGAAAGUGUGGGUAGCGAACAGGAUUAGAUACCCUGGUAGUCCACACCGUAAACGCUGUCUACUAGCUGUUUGUGUAUUUAAUACGUGAGUA
rnacentral:rRNA from 1 species